ensembl:lncRNA
GUCGUCACCCUGGCAGAACACUUUCAUGCAGACAAGCGUGGCCUGGAACCACACCCCACACCCCAGGGCAUGGGAUCUGGCUUCUAGAGCAGCUCUCUAUGAAGGGGCCAAUGGAAAGCAGGAGGUAGGAGAAAGUCAGACAGCCAGCUUUCUCUAUCGCCUCUUCCCUUCAAAGGACAGAUUUCCCGUACAACCUGUCCAGAGAAGUUUUGCCUGGCUGAGCAGGUUUAUCUGACGCCUCCUUGUGGGCUGUUGUGCGGCCAUGGCCAUCGCAAUGAUAGUGGCCCAUCACCAUGCGUGCUCCCAUCCUUCCCUGCCUGUCUCCCCUUUGCCCUCACUCUCAUUGCCCUGGGACUGUGCCUCCUAAAUAAGCUUCAGCACUUCAUCCCUGCCCCAGGCUCUCAUUUCUAGGAACCUCGGGCAAAGAUAACCACUCCAACAAUUACUUGUUUCUAGGCCUCUUUGCAUCUUUCAUAUUUAGGGUACCAGAGAAGACCCAAUCUUUGUUGAAUCGAGUUCAGCUUGAACUGAAACCUCUUGGAUACUGUGGUAGGAAGAAUGCUCAGAUGGCCUCCAGGAGGCCCAGCUCUUGAACAAUUCCCUCCCCCCUCAGGAUGAGGAAGUGGAAUAUGGGGACUUGUGAAUAUGCUGGCAUAUUACUCCCAUGAUUAUGUUACAUUAUAUGACAGAAGAGUUUUGUGGAUGUUACUGAAGAAGGUCCCUAAUCAACUGACUUUGAGUUAAUCAAAAGGGAGAUUAUACUGCAUGGGCCUGAUUUAAUCAGGUGAGCCCUUAAAAGGGACUCAGCUCUUUCUAAGAUCAGAGAGAUUUCUCCUGCUGGCCUUGAAGGUGCACACUGCCAUGCUGUGGAAGGGCCACGUGGCCGGGCACAGCAGGCAGGCUCUAGGAGCUACGGGAUUCAGCCAACAAAAGAGUAGGGGCCUCAGUCCUACAGCCACAGGUAGCAGAAUUCUGCCAACAAUCUGAGAGAGCUUGGGAGUGGAUAUCUCCCUAGCUGAGCUUCUGGACAACUCUUCUCAGCUCCCUUGCAGGUCUGUGAGCUCUGUGACUAUGUCACAAUGGAACGUGAGUAGAUUGUGUAUCAUCAUCAGACAUGAUUACCCAGUCUCUCUCUUGCCCCGCUUUGAGGACCAAAGAGCUGGCUUCAUGUUCCAGAUGAUGAAUGUACAAGAAGAUGGAGCCAUCAUCAUUCUGGAUCUUUGAGGACCACAUGGAAGACAGUUGCCCUGAAGAGUCUCUCAGGCCCCUUUUACUUUGUGUGGGUACAACCAUGGGGCUUUGCUUGAAGAUGCCUUCUCCAAAGAUAUGUGGACACCCCUCCAGGUGCCCUCAGUACCUGAUUCACAGCCUCCCUGCCCUAAGCCCUCUCAGUCUGGAAAAAAGCCCCAACACCACAUUCCUCACUUCCCUCUUCCAUCCCAAACUUUUUUGCUGACAUCCUGGUAAAGCAGUUCCAACUCAUCAAUGGGGCCACAGUGCAUACAAG